CCUACGGGAGGCAGCAGUGGGGAAUUUUGCGCAAUGGGGGCAACCCUGACGCAGCAACGCCGCGUGAGUGAUGAAGGCCUUCGGGUCGUAAAGCUCUGUCAGAGGGGGAGAAAUGCAGGUGGUGAACAACCAUUCUGUUUGACGGUACCCUCAAAGGAAGCACCGGCUAACUCCGUGCCAGCAGCCGCGGUAAUACGGAGGGUGCGAGCGUUGUUCGGAAUUAUUGGGCGUAAAGCGCGUGUAGGCGGUUUGUUAGGUCGUAGGUGAAAGCCCCGGGCUCAACCGGGAAAGGGCAUUGUAUACUGGCAGACUUGAGUACGGGAGAGGAGAGUGGAAUUCCCGGUGUAGGAGUAAAAUCCGUAGAUAUUGGGAGGAACACCGGUGGCGAGGGCGGCUCUCGGGACAGAUACUGACGCUG
rnacentral:rRNA from 1 species